UACGUAGGGGGCAAGCGUUGUCCGGAUUUAUUGGGCGUAAAGAGCGUGUAGGCGGCCAUACAGGUCAGCUGUGAAAACUCGAGGCUCAACCUCGAGACGUCGGUUGAAACCGUAUGGCUAGAGUCCGGAAGAGGAGAGUGGAAUUCCCGGUGUAGCGGUGAAAUGCGCAGAUAUCGGGAAGAACACCCGUGGCGAAGGCGGGCUCUCU
rnacentral:rRNA from 1 species